ACUAGCAUCCAGAAAAGGUUUCUGUCUAGAUUAGCAAAUGCCUAAAUUGUUCUUGGUUACAUCCCAUGACCGGUUUUAGGCAGUGACUUCAUACUGCUUUUAGGAUUUUCUUGUACACUGGUGAGAAAAUAGGCAGGUCUGAUAGUGGUUUCACUUUUUUUCUACUUCACGUUCCAUAAGAUUCUUUUAUCCAAGCGAUUGUUUUAAAAUUCUACUGUAAGCGUUUGUGGUUCACUUUUUUUUUCUUUGCAGCACCCGGGCCUUUUUUUUUUUCUCUAAAUCGGGAGUAAAUAUAGCUGAGUAAAAUUUCCUUGGUUAUCUUCCUUCUUUUUAAACUUAAUUGUUUUUAUUAAUAAUUCUAUUUGAAUAUGCAGAAAAAGUGGGUAUGUCCUGUAAUCUAUGCUAGCUUUUCUCGUUUACAGGGUACUCACAAAAUAUGUCUCCCUUAGUGUCCCACAGAAACAUUCUGGGUGAAAUCUGAAUUAAGUGCUAUGAGUCUUGAUAAAUUGGAGAAGUGCCCAAGAGAAAUUCAUCAUCCUGAGAUACAAAAGCUCCUGGUCGGCUAACGAGCGAAUGUCUGCGUGACCUCUGUCAUGGAGCCAUUUCUCCACACUAUACUAUCAAAGUUUAAAGGUAAAUUAUUAUAUAUUAGGAGAUGGUAUAAAGUGUAUGUUGUAAUGUGUAGGAUAUAUACAAAGAUACGUACUUGAAAGUCCGUAGAGGAAACAAAUUUUUACGCCUUCUGUUUGACUGUUUGUCAUAUAUUUGGUUUUAUUUCCCAGGGAUCAGUGAAUUUUAACUCUGGAGUCCUCUAUGCUAAGGAUGCUCAGCUUACAGAUGAUGAAAUGUUCAGUAAUGGUGAGUUUUUCACCUUCUCCUUCAUUGUUUUGCUCAUCUGAAUAAAAAAAAAAAGGCAAGAUUAAAGAAAAAGCAAUAGUUUUAUUAUUUUUACCCUGUUAUGUCUGUUUCCUCAGUAUUUGCUGGAGCUGUGCUUACCCAAGGUUUGGGUAAAACAAGCUUUGGGUUCCUUCUGUCUCACUGGGAGUUGCCCAAUUCAGUUGCAUCUGGUGAAAUUCACCCUGAGACCUUACAGAACCAGCUCCAACUACGUGAGAGCCAUUUGCAGUUCUCUCCAGACGCCUGGAGAAUGGGCGACGUUUCUGAGGAUCCGGCGAGCGUGCUUCUGUCAAAACUCAGUCUGUGAAAUUUCUGGGGAAAACCCUUCUGUGUCCUGAAGGGUUCAAACUCUGGUGAGGAUCCAGUUAUCAGGUGCUCACCUGGAUGGUUCCAGCUGCCAAAGGUAACACUUGUACUCUUGCCCUGUAGUUUACAUCUAUUGUAUUUUUGUUAUUUUGCAGGAUUUUUUGUCUUUGCAAAAUAUUGUGCAUUUCACUCUUUGGAACCUCUCAGAUGGUUCUUUGGUGCAGCACCACCCCAGGGGACACUUGGCUGCUGUCCUGAAGGGGUUGGUCGCUAGAAUUGUAAAUCCUGGAGAGUUUGUAAGUCUUCUGUCCCCAGGGAGGUGUCAUGCUUUGUUUACUUUUGUUCUGUUGGUUAGGCGCUGCUUCUCGUUGCAAGUAUGAAUUUCAAACUGCCCUGUUCUUAUUUUAACUGUUUUCCUGGUUCUCUCUGUCCGGCAGGGAAAGACUCUCGUAUCCUUGUCGUCGGGCUCGGUGCUGUCCAAGAAGAUACAGAGACUAAAAAAAUCAUAAGAAGCAAAAUAUGACUGCAGGGAAAAGAAGCUGGAGAGAACAGAAGACUCAUCACGGCGGGACAGCGUGAGGACUGAAAGUGUAAGAAGAUGUGGAGGGAAAGAGAGAAUCUGACAGGAGCAGCAAACGCACGAGUGCACGAAUUUUGCUUUUUGCUUGGAUGUAAACUCAGGAGUUGAAAGGAAUUUGGGAGUGAGAAGGGACAUUUCAGAAGGAGAA